rnacentral:rRNA from 1 species
CGGACUCAACGUCCGGGAAACUCACCAGAUAAGACAGCUGAAUGAUAGUCGGGCUGAAGACUCUACUUGACUAGCUGAGAGGAGGUGCAUGGCCGUCGUCAGUUCGUACUGUGAAGCAUCCUGUUAAGUCAGGCAACGAGCGAGACCCACGCCAACAGUUGCCAGCUCGUCCUCCGGGAUGGAGGGGACACUGUUGGGACCGCCUCUGCUAAAGAGAGGAAGGAAUGGGCAACGGUAGGUCAGCAUGCCCCGAAUUAAUUGGGUUACACGCGGGCUACAAUGGGUGGGACAAUGGGUAUCGACACCGAAAGGUGAAGGCAAUCUCCUAAACCCAUCCGUAGUUCGGAUUGUGGGCUGCAACUCGCCCACAUGAAGCUGGAAUCUGUAGUAAUCGUGUUUCAAAAUAGCACGGUGAAUAUGUCCCUGCUCCUU